GAUGAAGAACGUAGCGAAAUGCGAUAAGUAAUGUGAAUUUCAGAAUUCAGUGAAUCAUCGAAUCUUUGAACGCACAUUGCGCCCGCCAGUAUUCUGGCGGGCAUGCCUGUUCGAGCGUCAUUACAACCCUCAGGCCCCCGGGCCUGGCGUUGGGGAUCGGCGGAAGCCCCCUGCGGGCACAACGCCGUCCCCCAAAUACAGUGGCGGUCCCGCCGCAGCUUCCAUUGCGUAGUAGCUAACACCUCGCAACUGGAGAGCGGCGCGGCCACGCCGUAAAACACCCAACUUCUGAAUGUUGACCUCGAAUCAGGUAGGAAUACCCGCUGAACUUAAGCAUAUCAAUAAGCGGAGGA
rnacentral:misc_RNA from 1 species